rnacentral:rRNA from 1 species
GACGAACCGUCCAAACGUUAUUCGGAAUCACUGGGCUUAAAGGGUGCGUAGGCGGCGCGGAAAGUUGGGUGUGAAAUCCCUCGGCUUAACCGAGGAACUGCGCCCCAAAAACUUCCGUGCUCGAGGGAGAUAGAGGUGAGCGGAACUUAGGGUGGAGCGGUGAAAUGCGUUGAUAUCCUAAGGAACACCGGUGGCGAAAGCGGCUCACUGGAUCUCUUCUGACGCUGAGGCACGAAAGCUAGGGUAGCGAACGGG